AUACCUUUCUCGGCCUUUGGCUAAGAUCAAGUAUAAUAUCGGUUCUUAUUAUUUUAUUAUCUGAUACGUGGGUCAUGAGCCUACGAUGAUAUUAAAUUUAUUUUCAUUACUAGCAAAA
rfam:Oryza rufipogon genomic scaffold, chr07